AAUGAACGCUGGCGGCAUGCCUAACACAUGCAAGUCGAACGAGACCUUCGGGUCUAGUGGCGCACGGGUGCGUAACGCGUGGGAACCUGCCCUUAGGUUCGGAAUAACUCCCCGAAAGGGGUGCUAAUACCGGAUAAUGUAUUCGGACCAAAGGUUUAUCGCCGUUGGAUGGGCCCGCGUUGGAUUAGCCAGUUGGUAGGGUAAAUGCCUACCAAGGCGACGAUCCAUAGCUGGUCUGUGAGGAUGGUCAGCCACACUGGGACUGAGACACGGCCCGGACUUCUGCAGGAUGCGGCAGUGGGUAAUAUUGGACAGUGGGCUGAAGGCUGAUCCAGCAAGGCCGCGUAAGUAAUGAAGGCCGGAAGGUUGUAAAGCUCUUUAACCCGGGAUGAUAAUGACAUUACCGGGAGAAUAAGCUCCGGCUAACUCCGUG
rnacentral:rRNA from 1 species